rnacentral:rRNA from 1 species
CCUACGGGGUGCUGCAGUGAGGAAUAUUGGUCAAUGGGCGCAAGCCUGAACCAGCCAAGUCGCGUGAGGGAUGACGGUCCUAUGGAUUGUAAACCUCUUUUGUCGGGGAGCAAGGCCCGCCACGUGUGGCGGUAAGGAGAGUACCCGAAGAAAAAGCAUCGGCUAACUCCGUCCCACAAGCCGCGGUAAUACGGAGGAUGCGAGCGUUAUCCGGAUUUAUUGGGUUUAAGGGGUGCGUAGGCGGAAGGUUAAGUCAGUGUUCAAAUGUCGGUGCCCACCACCGGCCUGCCGUUGAAACUGGUCUUCUUGAGUGAGCGAGAAGUAUGCGGAAUGCGUGGUGGAGCGGUGAAAUGCAUAGAUAUCACGCAGAACCCCGAUUGCGAAGGCAGCAUACCGGCGCUCAACUGACGCUGAGGCACGAAAGCGUGGGGAUCGAACAGGAUUAGAUACCCGUGUAGUC